AUCAUUAUCGUGGGGCUCCGGCCCUGUCGAGAUAGAACCCUUGCCUUUUGAGUACCGUCCGUUUCCUCGGCAGGCCCGCCUGCCAAUGGGGACCCCAAUAAACCCUUUUAUGUACCUGUAUCAGUCUGAAAAACAAACAAAAGUUAAAACUUUCAACAACGGAUCUCUUGGUUCUGGCAUCGAUGAAGAACGCAGCGAAAUGCGAUAAGUAGUGUGAAUUGCAGAAUUCAGUGAAUCAUCGAAUCUUUGAACGCACAUUGCGCCCUUUGGUAUUCCUUAGGGCAUGCCUGUUCGAGCGUCAUUUGGAAACUCAAGCUCAGCUUGGUGUUGGGUGUCUGUCUCCGCCCCGCGGGGACUCGCCUCAAAAGCAUUGGCGGCCGGUACGUUGGCUUCGAGCGCAGCAGAAACGCGAACUCGGGGCUGGCGGAUCGGCGACCAGAAGAAUCUUCUUUACAGCUUGACCUCGGAUCAGGUAGGGAUACCCGC
rnacentral:rRNA from 1 species